UAGUUAUUCCUCAAAUAGAUAGUUGGCAAUUUCCUUUCCAAAAUCUUGUUUUGAUUUGUAGAAUUAGCUUUCUAAUUUUAAAGGCCACAAAUAAGAAACAAUUAAAAUCUGCUUCUUGAAAUCUAUUUUUCAUUUCGAAUUCAAAUUUUAAUUUAAUUUUGAAUUCAAAUUUUAAAUUUAAAUAUAGAUUUUAAAUCUUAAAUUUUAAAUUUCAAGCUUUAAAUUUUAAAUUUUAAAAUUUCAAAUUUUAAAUUUAUAUAUUGAACUUAAUUUUUCAAAUUUAAAAUUUAAAAUUUAAAAUUUAAAACUUAAAAUUUAAGUCAAUAUUUAAAAUUUAAAAUUUUUAUUAAGUUUUAAAUUUAAAUUUUAAAUUUUAAGAUUCAGAUAAAUUUAAAUUUUAUUUUAAAUUUAAAAUUUCAAAAUUUUAAUUCUAAAUUUAAAUUUAAUUAUUAAAUUUUAAAUUCUAAUUCAGCUUUUAAAUUCAAAAUCUUAAAUAUUAAAUUUUAAACUAAAAUUUAGAAAAAAAAAAAUAAUUUGCAAACGGUAAAAAUAUUUUGCCAAAUACUUUCGCAAAAUUAUUUUCAAAAUCACUUU
rnacentral:lncRNA from 1 species